rnacentral:rRNA from 1 species
UACGAAGGGGGCUAGCGUUGCUCGGAAUUACUGGGCGUAAAGCGCACGUAGGCGGAUCUUUAAGUCAGGGGUGAAAUCCUGGAGCUCAACCCCAGAACUGCCUUUGAUACUGAGGACCUUGAGUUCGGGAGAGGUGAGUGGAACUGCGAGUGUAGAGGUGAAAUUCGUAGAUAUUCGCAAGAACACCAGUGGCGAAGGCGGCUCACUGGCCCGAUACUGACGCUGAGGUGCGAAAGCGUGGGGAGCAAACAGG